rnacentral:rRNA from 1 species
GACGAACGCUGGCGGCGUGCCUAAUACAUGCAAGUCGAGCGGACCUCUUCGGAGGUCAGCGGCGGACGGGUGAGUAACACGUGGGCAACCUGCCUGUAAGACUGGGAUAACUCCGGGAAACCGGAGCUAAUACCGGAUACUAUGUCAAACCGCAUGGUUUGACAUUCAAAGACGGUUUCGGCUGUCACUUAAAGAUGGGCCCGCGGCGCAUUAGCGAGUUGGUGAGGUAACGGCUCACCAAGGCGACGAUGCGUAGCCGACCUGAGAGGGUGAUCGGCCACACUGGGACUGAGACACGGCCCAGACUCCUACGGGAGGCAGCAGUAGGGAAUCUUCCGCAAUGGACGAAAGUCUGACGGAGCAACGCCGCGUGAGUGAUGAAGGUUUUCGGAUCGUAAAACUCUGUUGUCAGGGAAGAACAAGUGCCGGAGUAACUGCCGGCGCCUUGACGGUACCUGACCAGAAAGCCACGGCUAACUACGUGCCAGCCGCCGCCGUAACAC